UGGAAACCAGAUUGAAGAGGGAGAAACGAAACUGAAAGUGCUUGCAUUGACGGGAAUAGAAUCUCGAUUGACUCAUGUUGAUUUAACUAUUUGCACUGCAGUUAGCCUACUCUUCCGUGUGCUUUUCUACGUGACUCUGGACUUCGAUGUGACCAGGCAUUUCGUGUAUAUCUCUGAUCAACCUGAUCGAUGGCCGCUGACAAAGAUAACACCGCCAACAUCAGUCUGAUUGACAACUUCAGGCCUAGGCUGCGGAAACUCAUUGAAAUCGAGUUUGUACUGGAUCACCUGAACUUCUUAGACAAUGACAACAAGGACUUGAUCCGAACUAAGGCGAGAAAAGAGAGCAAUCUAAAGGCAGUGGAUCUACUUAUUGAUACAAUCAUCAGGAUCCGGCCACUUCCGAAAGGUUGGUUCAGGGAGUUUGUGGAUGCACUGUCAGCUGGGGGUUGUAAACAUGCUGCCACCUACGUGGAGGAUAGCCCUCCAUGUCCUGCUCUGGAGGCAGAGAAUGACAACUGCGUCAGACUAAUUGAACUUCUGUCGCCAAGUCUUUUGAGGAUGAAGACUACUGAUGUUUGCUGGGACUGUUUUUCGAAAGGUAUUCUCACCACAGAGGACCGUGAAAUUAUUUUAGCUGAAUGUCAAAACCGAGGAAAUAUGGGUGGUGCUCGUGAACUGCUCAGGAGAAUCGUGAGAUUCCCUCCUGGAUGGUUCUCCACCUUCUUGAAGGCCUUACAGGUCACUGAACACAAGGACCUGUGUAAAGAAUUGACAGGGGAGUCACCUGGUGAUAACUUGAUAGAUGAGCCAGGUGUCCUGAUGGCUGUGAAUGAAGCUCCAGGGAAUGUGGAUCCCAUGGUGGAGGAGGGUCCUGUAGAAGCAGCGGGGAAACCUUUUCUCCCAGAGCAGGAUACAUUGGAUAGCAGUGUGACCAGCAUGAAUCUGGAUGAACCUUCAGAGGCUGACUCAGAAAUUGCAGACCUAUAUAGUGGCACAGAAGAACCAAUGGAAAAUGGGAAACCGGAAAAUAGCUUGGAUCUCUCAAUGUCAGGCUGCAUUGCCCCUGCUGCUGAAAGCCCCCCAAAAGCUGUCAUUGUUCUUCGAGAUUAUCAGAUGGACGUGGCCAGGCCCGCCUUGGAGGGAAAAAACAUCAUCAUAUGCCUCCCGACCGGAAGUGGUAAAACCAGAGUUGCUGUCUAUAUUACCAAAGAACAUCUGGACAGCAGGAGGAAAGAGGGCCGACCAGGGAAAGUGGUCGUCUUGGUGAACAAGGUGCCCCUGGUCGAGCAGCAUUACUCCACAGAGUUCUGGAAGUUCCUUAAAAACAAAUACAAAGUUGAGAGGGUCAGUGGGGACUCCCAGCUCAAAAUCUCCUUCACAGACAUUGUCCAGAAAAACGAUAUUGUCAUCUGUACAGCCCAGCUUCUGGAGAACUACUUGGAAAGGGCUCACAGUGGAGAUGACGAUGGGAUUAAACUUUCAGAUUUGUCACUGAUUGUGAUCGAUGAAUGCCACCACACACAGAAGGGAGGAGUCUAUAACCACAUCAUGAUCCGCUACCUCAAGCAGAAGCACAAGAACGCCAAGUUAAAGAAAGAGCAGAAGGAUACAAUGGCCAUCCCACAAAUCCUAGGCUUGACCGCCUCACCCGGCGUCGGGGGAGCCAAGAAAAUUGAUAAAGCAGAAGAGCACAUUCUACGAAUCUGCGCAAAUUUGGACGCAUACAAAAUAAUGACGGGGAACCUUGGGGAAAACAAAAAAGAACCGCACAAAAAAAUUGCCACUGCCGAAGAAAGAAAAGAGGAUCCCUUUGGCGACGUUCUCAAAGGAGUCAUGAAUGCCAUUCACAUCCAUGCUGAACUGAACCCUACCUGUGACCUAGGCACCCAGAACUAUGAGCAGUGGGUGGUCCAGAAAGAACAAAAUGCUGCAAAAGAGGAGAAUCAAAAAGUGCGAGUUUGUGCUGAGCAUCUACGGCAGUACAAUGAGGCCCUGUACCUAGGCAAAACCAUCCGCAUGUGGGAUGCCUUCAGCUUCCUGGACAAAUACUUUGACGAGGAGCUGAAGAAGAAAGUGGCCCCAGAGGACGAGGAGGCCAUCAUUAAGACUGAUACAGAGCGAUUCCUUUUCACACUCUUUAAAGAUAGCAAAGUGAAACUGCAGGAGUUGGCUAAGCUUCCCCAGUAUGAAAAUAAUAGCCUAGCUAAGCUGAGAACCAAAAUCCUGCAUGAGUUUACAUCUAGAGAAAAGGCUAGAGGGAUCAUUUUCACGAAAACCCGUCGCAGUGCCAUCGCAUUAGCUCAAUGGGUUCAGGAGAACUCCAAGUUCGAGGAGGUCGGAGUAAAAGCUUGCCAUGUGAUUGGAGGAGGAGGCCAGAGUGUCGUGAAACCAAUGACCGCUGCAGAACAAAGGGAUGUUUUGAACAAGUUUCAGAGUGCGGAGAUCAACUUGCUGAUUGCAACAACAGUGGCUGAAGAGGGUCUGGACAUAGCAGCAUGUAACUUUGUGAUACGAUAUGAGCUUGUGACCAAUGAGAUCGCUAUGAUUCAGGCCCGAGGCAGAGGCAGAGCUGAGGACAGUAGUUAUACCUUAGUGGCAGGGGAGGGUUCUGGGGUCGCUGAACGAGAGAGUGUCAACGAGUACCGUGAGAAGAUGAUGAGCAAAGCUAUCGAUAAAGUCAAGAAAUUAGAUCAAGAGGAAUAUGAAAAGAGGAUUAAAGAAUUCCAGAUUCAGGCGAUCAUGGAGGAGAGAGUGCGAACAACCAAGAAGAAGCAGAAAGGAAUGAAAAAGGAGAGCCCGUCCAAAGUGAAGUUCAGUUGUAGAAGCUGCAACAAACCAGUCUGCUCUGGGGAAGAUGUUGAAAUCAUUGAAAAUAUGCACAGAGUCAACGUAACACCCCAAUUUAAGGAACUUUUCAUUCAAAGAGAAAACACCUCACUUGUUAAAAGGCUACUGGACUACGAGACCAAUGGUUUCAUAGCAUGCAAAGACUGUGGACAGAGGUGGGGUUCAAUGAUGCUCUACCGUGGAAUCGAGUGUCCCUGUCUUCACGUCAAGAACUUCCUGGUGACGUAUGAUGAAAAGAGGAAGAACGUCAACAAGUGGAGCGAGGCUUAUAUCUGGAAUUACAACAUUUAUUUGAAACCCAACACCCCUGCUGAAGCCAUGCAAGUCACCCAUAAUGGAAAAGAUCAUCAGAUCAUCAGACGGUGGCCCUGACUGGGCAUAUAAGGGUGAGUACAUCAGACGGUGGCCCUGACUGGGCAUAUAAGGGUGAGUACAUCAGACGGUGGCCCUGACUGGGCAUAUAAGGGUGAGUACAUCAGACGGUGGCCCUGACUGGGCAUAUAAGGGUGAGUACUGAGUAGCAUUGACACAUUUUAGAGGGAAGGGACAAGGUGUGUUUCAUCACACAGAAGGCUUUUGAGUAACGUGAUAUCUUCCACUUUUUUUCAGAGGAGGUUUUCUCAUCCAUUGAGGCAAUAUGGUGGUCACCAACUGGAAAGUGUCUGUCUUAUGUUGAUUUUAAUGACACAAUCAACUUAUUUUUGUAUGGAUAUGGACAAUACCUCAGAACGGUGGUUGUCCCAUACCCUAAGGUGGGAUGUUGUAAUAUGUGCCCUUUUAAAACAUGGUAUGAAUGUCAUAAGAAUGAUAUAUAUACCACAGAUAGCAGGUAGUACGUCAAAUAUACAGUAUACUGUGAUCACACAUUAUGUGUGUGUUGUACAUUGUACAGAGUAAAUACAGUAUUUGAAGUACAGUGGGGCAAAAAGUAUUUAGUCAACCAACAAUUGUGCAAGUUCUCCCACUUAAAAAGAUGAGAGGUCAUUUUCAUCAUAGUUACACUUGUGGGAAAAAAAUGUGGAGAAAAAACCCCAGCAAAUCACAUUGUAGGAUUUUUAAUUUAUUUAUUUGCAAAUUAUGGUGGAAAAUAAGUAUUUGGUCAAUAACAAAAGUUUAUCUCAAUACUUUGUUAUAUACCCUUUGUUGGCAAUGACAGUGGUCAAACGUUUUCUGUAAGUCUUCACAAGGUUUUCACACACUGUUGCUGGUAUUUUGGCCCAUUCCUCCAUGCAGAUCUCCUCUAGAGCAGUGAUGUUUUGGGGCUGUUGCUGGGCAACACGGACUUUCAACUCCUUCCAAAUAUUUUCUAUGGGGUUGAGAUCUGGAGACUGGCUAGGCCACUCCAGGACCUUGAAAUGCUUCUUACGAAGCCACUCCUUCGUUGCCCGGGCGGUGUGUUUGGGAUCAUUGUCAUGCUGAAAGACCCAGCCACGUUUCAUCUUCAAUGCCCUUGCUAAUGGUAGGCUUUGUUACUUUGGUACCAGCUCUCUGCAGGUCAUUCACUAGGUCCCCCCGUGUGGUUCUGGGAUUUAUGCUCACCGUUCUUGUGAUCAUUUUGACCCCACGGGGUGAGAUCUUGCGUGGAGCCCCAGAUCGAGGGAGAUUAUCAGUGGUCUUGUAUGUCUUCCAUUUCCUAAUAAUUGCUCCCACAGUUGAUUUCUUCAAACCAAGCUGCUUACCUAUUGUAGAUUCACUCUUCCCAGCCUCGUGCAGGUCUACAAUUUUGUUUCUGGUGUCUUUUGACAGCUCUUUGGUCUUGGCCAUAGUAGAGUUUGGAGUGUGACUGUUUGAGGUUGUGGACAGGUGUCUUUUAUACUGAUAAUAAGUUCAAACAGGUGCCAUUAAUACAGGUAACGAGUGGAGGACAGAGGAGCCUCUCACAGGUCUGUGAGAGCCAGAAAUCUUGCUUGUUUGUAGGUGACCAAAAACUUAUUUUCCACCAUAAUUUGCAAAUAAAUUCAUUAAAAAUCCUACAAUGUGAUUUUCUGAAAAAAAAUCGGACUAAGGCAAAGCUGUUUGUGGUGGACACAAGAAAUCCGUCAAGGCGACCUGCCAGGUGUGGUAUUUGUUCAAAUGUGUAGAUUUUAAUGAUUGAUUCCAGUCUACUGUAAAUGUUAGCAAUAUCAGAAUUCAAUACCUACAGUAUGAAAGUGUAUAUCAUUCCAAAGGGAAAGGCAACACCCAUUACCUCAGGCAAAUGGGAGGUCAUCUACAAUUAGAUAACAAAAUAGAGUAAACCUACUAUUUAUCUAUCACUGUGACCACAUUGUCUUUAAUGUGUUUCUCAUAACCCCCAUGGAUAUUUCAUUUCAAGUGGUUUCUCUAAAUUCAUGAUCCUGAAUACCAAAUAAACCAUGAAAGUAUGUUCAAUUGUUCAUCGUUCAGAUGGAGAUUUAACUCGUAUGAACCUGUGUUUGUUUGUUUGUGAGGGUUAUGAUCGGAAGGAGCCACUCUGCUCCCCAGUGCUUCACCUGCGGCCUGUAUAAGGACAGGUGUCAGUACAACUCAGCCUACUUCAGCUACGAUGCCUCUUACUACCGCAUGGACUGCUAUGGUCAGUUACCCCAUUCCCCAUUCACAUCCUGAGCACUAACCCAUCCGUGAUCAAUGCACAAAAAUAACUGUCCUGGUCAAUAUCAAUGAGUAACACAAUAAGUGUCCCAGAUAACACCCUAUUCCCUAUGCAGUGCACUACUUUUGACCAGGGCCUAGUCUCAGUUCUGACCUCUGACCUCCAGGUCAGUUAGUACCUGAGGUUAUGUGGUGAACAAUUAGCCUACGUGAUGUUUUAGUGUAUUGUGUGUGCUGAUUGUUUCUUAACAGGACCCGGAACACCUUUGUUCACACUCGGGGACGAUAGAGGCUCAGGUGAAGGUAUGCAAAAAAGUACCACUAUUAUGAAAAUACUCUUUGUAUCUGACCAAUACUCAGGUUCAUGAAUCUUCACCACAAACGGGCCAACUUCUGAUAUGACUUUUAAUUGAUAAAGAAGUUUUGUUUUAAAGCUCCUGGUUCUUCGUCAACAAAGAUCUUGAAGACAUGAUAAAAAUAAUUCCAAAUGCUGACCAUGCAGUGUGGGACCCUGAUGGUAGCAGAAUUUGGUGGGACUGAAGUUUUACAGACUGGCAGAUCAAAUCAUACCACGCUAAAUCAAAUGUAUCUCUAUUGGCCUCAUGUUUCACUAUCUUUUUGCCAACAGAUCUUUGGUAUCAAAUGAUGUUACGCCCUAAUUUCCCCAAAAAACUAAAAGUACCCUCUUCUAAUUGAUAUGUAAGUACACAGGUCUAAGCAUCUUACAAGAUUUGCAGAGAGUUGAUUAUCCAUUCCACUUCACUUUACUGCCUCCAGAUCCAGUACAUUAUAUUACAAUAAUUGUAAUUGGUUAUAUACUUAUAUACUGAUACUAGUUAUAUACUGAUUUCCCUUGCAGAUAUGGAGGCCCCUGUAGUCAGAUGGCAGAUUAUCUCUACAGACUGAACUAGGGGUUUGUACCUCUCCAGUACAGAGGGGAUCAUAGUGGCCAGUUUCGAUGGAUGGGGAAGCAGUUACCAAGGGGACAAAAUAAUGCACUCCAUCUACCAACGUCUUGGAACGUGGAAGGUGGAUGAUUAAAUAACAGCCGUGGGGUAAAAUGCCAUUGAACUACAGAGACUUCAGUGUGUCAAGUAUAACAUAUGUUUAACAGUAUGUAAAAAACAUUUACAAAUUCAGCAAAGUAUUCAUUUCUGAUAAUUCAUGCAAAUUGGAAUACCCCAAAGUGGGCUAUCUGUUGCUCUUGAAAAAGGUCUCAUUAAUGUAAUCUGCUCUCAUCGGUUUUUGAUUCUGAUGAGAUCAACACUUGAAUGACAUAAUACUGUAAUUCCCGUCGCCGGGAAUACUAACCACCAGUCCUGGGAUUCAUCAUUACGCACACCUGGCAUCCAUCAUUACGCACACCUGGCAUCAAUCAUUACCUCCCCUAUAUCUGGCACUCCCUUAGGUUGUUUCCCCAGUCAGUAUUGCUGAUGUGUUUCAUGUCUACACGCUACUCGUGGUUGUUAUAUUGUUCGAUGUUCCGUUUAUUAUUAUUAAACUCACCACCUGAACUUGCUUUCCGACUCGUAUACACCCAGAUCCCACGAUCUCCUUUGCGGUGGAGGUGGACGCUUCAGAGGUGGGCAUGGGGGAAGUUCUGUCUCAACGACAGGGUCAUCCACAGAUAUUGUAUCCGUAUGAAUAUAACUCUUAAGAAACUGUCCCCCGUAGAGAGGAAUUACGACGUCAUUGAUCGAGAGCUCCUGGCGGUGAAGUUGGCAUUAGAGGAGUGGAGACACUGGCUGGAUGGCGCCAAGGAACCAUUCGGCAUCCUUACCGACCAUCGGAACCUGGAGUACAUACGAACAGCGAGGAGGCUGAAUCCGCGCCAAGCAAGCAGGUCUUCCGGCAUUGGCCUUCCCGGAGGACAUUGUCUCAAACAGUGGCCCCCAAUCACAUCACAGGUGUCUCCGGAAGGUGGUGAUUGACUCCGCUGUCCUGGCGUCGUGAGGGAGUGUGUUCCACCAUUGGGGAGCCAGAGCAGCGAACAGUUUUGACUGGGCUGAGCGGGAACUGUACUUCCUCAGUGGUAGGGAGGCGAGCAGGCCAGAGGUGGAUGAACGCAGUGCCCUUGUUUGGGUGUAGGGCCUGAUCAGAGCCUGGAGGUACUGAGGUGCCGUUCCCCUCACAGCUCCGUAGGCAAGCACCAUGGUCUUGUAGCGGAUGCGAGCUUCAACUGGAAGCCAGUGUACCACCCUAGGGACCGUGUCUGGCUUCCUACCAGGAACCUCCCACUCCGCCUGCUCUGCAAAAAGCUGACCGGAGGAUCAACGAGGUGACAUUUCGGUUUCAGCUUCCCAUUGACUUUUGUAUCUCACCUUCUUGGUUUGCUAGCUGAUGCUGUCCCCCACGACACUUCUCCACCCAUCCUGGACAUCGAGGGGGGUCCGGCCUAAGCCGUCAGAUCUCUACUAAACUCCCGACGUCGUGGGGGUAGGCUCCACUAUCUGGUGGACUGGGAGGUGUAUGGCCCGGAGGAGCGGUGUUGGGUUCCGGUGAAAGACAUUCUGGAUAUCAACAUCAUCCGUGAUGUCCACCUUCACCACCCGGACCAACCCUCUCCUUGUUCUCGGGGCCGUUCCUCUGGUCGGCGUCGUCCUGCGUCUGGAGCCGCGGCGUUCGAUGUUGCCGCUAUACUAACCACCGGUCAUGGGAUCCAUCAUUAGAAACUGUUGGCUUUACAUGCACCUGCACGUCAUCAGGCACACCUGGACUCCAUUAUCUCACUUAUUACCACUCCUAUAUCUGACACUCCCUUAGGUUGUUUCCCCAGUCAGUAUUGUUUAUGUGUGUCAUGUCUACACCUGCUUGUGUUUGUUACAUUGUUCAAUGUUCCGUUUAUUAUUAAACUCACCACCUGCACUUGC